GGAAGAAUACAACAUCAAGGUGACUAUUCUUGAAAAUGUAUACUGGAAGGAAUUUGGACUUCUUGUAUUUGUUUGGGUUUCAUUCCUUGUACUACAGAUUGCCAAGGAAACCUACACGAGUACUUGUUCAAUGUUAUAUUGGGUACUGAACUUGUUACAG